rnacentral:rRNA from 1 species
AGAGUUUGAUCCUGGCUCAGGACGAACGCUGGCGGCGUGCCUAAUACAUGCAAGUAGAACGCUGAAGGGAGGAGCUUGCUCUUCUUGGAUGAGUUGCGAACGGGUGAGUAACGCGUAGGUAACCUGCCUUGUAGCGGGGGAUAACUAUUGGAAACGAUAGCUAAUACCGCAUAACAAUGGAUGACACAUGUCAUUUAUUUGAAAGGGGCAAUUGUUCCACUACAAGAUGGACCUGCGUUGUAUUAGCUAGUAGGUGAGGUAAUGGCUCACCUAGGCGACGAUACAUAGCCGACCUGAGAGGGUGAUCGGCCACACUGGGACUGAGACACGGCCCAGACUCCUACGGGAGGCAGCAGUAGGGAAUCUUCGGCAAUGGGGGCAACCCUGACCGAGCAACGCCGCGUGAGUGAAGAAGGUUUUCGGAUCGUAAAGCUCUGUUGUAAGUCAAGAACGGGUGUGAGAGUGGAAAGUUCACACUGUGACGGUAGCUUACCAGAAAGGGACGGCUAACUACGUGCCAGCAGCCGCGGUAAUACGUAGGUCCCGAGCGUUGUCCGGAUUUAUUGGGCGUAAAGCGAGCGCAGGCGGUUUGAUAAGUCUGAAGUUAAAGGCUGUGGCUCAACCAUAGUUCGCUUUGGAAACUGUCAAACUUGAGUGCAGAAGGGGAGAGUGGAAUUCCAUGUGUAGCGGUGAAAAGCGUAGAUAUAUGGAGGAACACCGGUGGCGAAAGCGGCUCUCUGGUCUGUAACUGACGCUGAGGCUCGAAAGCGUGGGGAGCGAACAGGAUUAGAUACCCUGGUAGUCCACGCCGUAAACGAUGAGUGCUAGGUGUUGGAUCCUUUCCGGGAUUCAGUGCCGCAGCUAACGCAUUAAGCACUCCGCCUGGGGAGUACGACCGCAAGGUUGAAACUCAAAGGAAUUGACGGGGGCCCGCACAAGCGGUGGAGCAUGUGGUUUAAUUCGAAGCAACGCGAAGAACCUUACCAGGUCUUGACAUCCCGAUGCUAUUUCUAGAGAUAGAAAGUUACUUCGGUACAUCGGUGACAGGUGGUGCAUGGUUGUCGUCAGCUCGUGUCGUGAGAUGUUGGGUUAAGUCCCGCAACGAGCGCAACCCCUAUUGUUAGUUGCCAUCAUUCAGUUGGGCACUCUAGCGAGACUGCCGGUAAUAAACCGGAGGAAGGUGGGGAUGACGUCAAAUCAUCAUGCCCCUUAUGACCUGGGCUACACACGUGCUACAAUGGUUGGUACAACGAGUUGCGAGUCGGUGACGGCGAGCUAAUCUCUUAAAGCCAAUCUCAGUUCGGAUUGUAGGCUGCAACUCGCCUACAUGAAGUCGGAAUCGCUAGUAAUCGCGGAUCAGCACGCCGCGGUGAAUACGUUCCCGGGCCUUGUACACACCGCCCGUCACACCACGAGAGUUUGUAACACCCGAAGUCGGUGAGGUAACCUUUUGGAGCCAGCCGCCUAAGGUGGGACAGAUGAUUGGGGUGAAGUCGUAACAAGGUA